rnacentral:rRNA from 1 species
GACGAACGCUGGCGGCGUGCCUAAUACAUGCAAGUCGAACGAACCGCGACUGAGUGCUUGCACUUGGUCAAGGUGAGUGGCGAACGGGUGAGUAACACGUGGGUAACCUACCUCAUAGUGGGGGAUAACAGUCGGAAACGACUGCUAAUACCGCAUAGGACAUAGGAUCACAUGAUCCAGUGGGGAAAGGUGGCGCAAGCUAUCGCUAAGAGAUGGACCCGCGGUGCAUUAGCUAGUUGGUAGGGUAAAGGCCUACCAAGGCGAUGAUGCAUAGCCGACCUGAGAGGGUGAUCGGCCACAUUGGGACUGAGACACGGCCCAAACUCCUACGGGAGGCAGCAGUAGGGAAUCUUCCGCAAUGGACGCAAGUCUGACGGAGCAACGCCGCGUGAGUGAAGAAGGUCUUCGGAUCGUAAAGCUCUGUUGUUAGAGAAGAACAGCGCAUAGAGUAACUGCUAUGCGUGUGACGGUAUCUAACCAGAAAGCCACGGCUAACUACGUG